rnacentral:tRNA from 1 species
GACAAGUUGGCCGAGUGGUUAUGGCGUGUGACUCAAGUUCUCAUGGGCGUAGCCCGCGGGGGUUCGAAUCCCCCACUUGUCA